rnacentral:misc_RNA from 1 species
AACUUUCAACAACGGAUCUCUUGGUUCUCGCAUCGAUGAAGAACGCAGCGAAAUGCGAUAAGUAGUGUGAAUUGCAGAAUUCAGUGAAUCAUCGAAUCUUUGAACGCACAUUGCGCCUUCUGGUAUUCCGGGAGGCAUGCCUGUUCGAGCGUCAUCAAAGCUCAAUUAAACCCCGCAAGGUUGUGAUCAAACUAAAGUCAGCUUUGCAGUGAGCGGGUUUGCUCUUGAGGGAAGAGAGAGAUCCACUUUUUCCUCUAUAGGUAUUUUUGGGUCGCUCUCCCCCUUGAAUUCUAUUGGUGGACACAGAAAAUUUUCCUCUCCUGGGUGAAGAUGGUAGUAGUAAAUGGAAAAAAAAUGAAAAAUUUUGGAUUUUUUUUUUUUUUUUUUCUUCUCACUGCUUCCUCAGGACCCUUGUGGUUUAAUUUGAGGUUUUGAUGUCUCCUGCCACAAACUUUAGAUCUAUAAAGUGAUUUGACCUCGGAUCAGGUAGGGAUACCCGCUGAACUUAAGCAUAUCAAUAAGCGGAGGAAAAGAAACCAACAGGGAUUGCCUUAGUAACUGCGAGUGAAGCGGCAAAAGCUCAAAUUUGAAAUCUGGCGUCUCUUUCGGGCGUCCGAGUUGUAAUUUGAAGGAGUAUCUUCGGGGGCGAAUGACGUUCUAAGUUCUUUUGGAAUUGGACAUCAAAGAGGGUGAGAAUCCCGUGCCUGGACGGCUGUUCGCUCCUAUGUGAAGUGCUUCCGACGAGUCGAGUUGUUUGGGAAUGCAGCUCAAAAUGGGUGGUAAAUUUCAUCUAAAGCUAAAUAUUGGCGAGAGACCGAUAGCGCACAAGUAGAGUGAUCGAAAGAUGAAAAGCACUUUGAAAAGAGAGUCAAAAAGUACGUGAAAUUGUUGAAAGGGAA